rnacentral:rRNA from 1 species
GAUGAACGCUAGCGGCAGGCCUAAUACAUGCAAGUCGAGGGGUAGUGGUUGCUUGCAGCCAUGAGACCGGCGCACGGGUGCGUAACGCGUAUGCAACCUACCUUCAUCUGGGGGAUAGCCCGGAGAAAUCCGGAUUAAUACCGCAUAAAAUCACAGUACGGCAUCGUACAAUGAUCAAACAUUUAUGGGAUGGAGAUGGGCAUGCGUGUCAUUAGUUAGUUGGCGGGGUAACGGCCCACCAAGACCGCGAUGACUAGGGGAUCUGAGAGGAUGACCCCCCACACUGGUACUGAGACACGGACCAGACGCCUACGGGAGGCAGCAGUAAGGAAUAUUGGUCAAUGGGCGCAAGCCUGAACCAGCCAUGCCGCGUGCAGGAAGACGGCCCUCUGGGUUGUAAACUGCUUUUAUUCGGGAAUAAACCUGCUUACGUGUAAGUAGCUGAAUGUACCGAAGGAAUAAGGAUCGGCUAACUCCGUGCCAGCCGCCGCAGUAAAAC